AUUUCUAGCGUAGAAAAACGGGCCAAAGAGUCUAAAAGCAGAGAGAGUGCGCAUUUCUAGCACAGAAAAACGGGCCAAAGAGUCUAAAAGCGGAGAGAGUGCGCAUUUCUAGCACAGAAAAACGGGCCAAAGAGUCUAAAAGCGGAGUGGGUGCGCAGUUGUAGCGCAGAAAAACGGGCCAAACUGUCUAAAAGUUGCCGUAAUUAAGGAGUUGAAUAUUAAGAGACAUCAUGAAAUUAAAAAUCAAUUUGAAAAAUCUUAGUUUACACAACACUGUCAAAGAUAAAGAUAGUUAGUCAAGUAAAAUGGUGUGUAAAUGAAAUAAUCAGGAAAAAAGUAUUAUUUAAAGCGGUAUAUUUUAUUAUUUGUUUUAUUACAGAGUCUGUGGCCCGUGACUUCAAAUGUAUUUCUCCUUUUGGCCCCCAACAAAAAAAGUUUGGACACCCCUGAUUUAAACAAUCACAAGAUAACCAACCACAAACUAGCCAAUUAUGGAAUAACCAGUCAAGUUAAUCAAUAGGCAACCACCCAUAGUAGAUUCACAAGUCAAACGCCAAUAAAUCACCUAAUAAUGUGUUUUUUUAUCCACCAAAAUGAUAGAUUUUGAUUCCUAGGGUCUUGUUCUGAAGUACUAUUCUACUGAUUGUAGUGCUGUAGUUUAAGUGGCUGUUCCAUUCUGGCACUAAGUGUCUUUUCCUUCCCCCUCCACGUUAUUCCACUUUAUUGUUGGCUUUAUUGCUUUAUUGCUGCUUCACUGGACUGGGUGUAUCUCUGCAGAGUUUUAUUCUGGAAGAAUCACUUUUAUUAGACUGUUCUGGGUCUUUUCUCCAAAUCAUUAUUCUGUGGUUAAUGUGUUUUUGGAUUAUGCCUUUAGGCUCAGUGUUUAAUAAAUGUUUUAUCUGUAAUUGGGCCAGCUGUUCCUGUUUUGUUAUUAUAUCUAAAACUACAGGACUGCGUGUGAUCAGACUGAGAUACAGACGCCACUGAUCUGGGUUUGGCAACUACAGUGCAGAAGGAGGGAGACCAGGAUGUGAAAUAUCGUCCCCUGCUGACGACCAUGAGGAAAACAUCACAUCUAAUGAAAGCUGGAGGAUGGUGUUACUGAUAUGCCUGAAUGAAUAAAUAAAUGAAAACGUGA